AGGGACAGGGUGGGCAGAACCGCGCAGGAACGCCAUUCCCCCUCCGCUCUGGAGUCAACCGCAUCAGCUGCUUUGGGCAGCCCCGGUCCCCAGUGAGGUUUUUACCCCGAGCAAAACCCAUUUUUCCAUUUCAGGCCAAGCCCAAAGGAUUUCUCCCAGCCGCGGUGGCCCCGUUGUGCCCUCCGUCCGUCCCGUGUCCCCUCCGUGACGGUUGUCCCCUGUCCCCGCAGGCACCUACCUGACCCACGAGGCCAAGGGCUCCGAUGACGCGCCGGACGCCGACACGGCCAUCAUCAACGCGGAGGGCGGCCAAGCCGGCGGCGACGACAAGAAGGAAUAUUUCAUCUAAGGGCGUCGGAGAGGAUUUACUCUCGUGCCCGGCACGGGCAGACAGACGGACGGACGGACAGAGGGAUGGCGGGACAGAGAGAGCAGAGAGCGACCGGCUGAGACGUGAUGCUUCUUCUUGAACUUGUACAAAACGUUGUUACUACGAACAGCGAAAGCCCCGUUUGCUUGCUUGCACCUCCAACCCCGCGCCCGGCGCUCGCGCGAAACACAGACCAAGCAGUGAGUGA